GAGAUUUAUCGACAGAGAAAACAUCUGGAAAUCAACUGGAAAUCUCAAAUCAGCUUCCACAGAACAGAGAGUCCACAGCAACACAAUGGUAACCAGCAGACGAGCUCCAACCACUCUGUGAGAGACUUGACCACCCAGAGACUAACUGCUGCUGCUGAGGAAAUAUUCACCCUGUUUCAACCAACUGUGGUUCAGUACGAGGAGGAGAUUGGUCGUCAACGCAGGAUGCUGGAAAUCAGCUGGAAUCCUCAAAUCAAGUUACACAGAGCAGAGCUCCAACAGGACCAUGACUGCAGAGAGAAGCAGCUCUUUAAACAGGAAACAAACUACUGUCUAGAACAGGAUGAACCAGAACCACCACAGAUAAAAGAAGAACCAGAACCUCUGCACAUCAAAGAAGAACCAGAACAUCCACAGAUCAAACAAGAA